UGUACUUCUCUUAUCUCACUCUUGGAGAAUUGAUUUUAUGGAAACUUUGCACUGCACAUAACUGAAAGGAGAAGCAACGUGCAGUUAAUUUCUCUUGGCAGCAAUAUUUAUUUCCAAACCAAACAGCAACGUGUAACUAUUCUCAAGAACAAUAAGGCGGGUUUUGCUCUCCGCUCCGAUUUUGUUGUCCUGUUUUAUCGUGUUGUUGAAAUUGGGCUUUCUUCGAAGGGAAGUAAAGUGGAAGAAGAUUAUUUCUUGGUAUAUAUGAUUUUGAAGGAAAUGAGAAUUGAAUUUGGACUAGCGUAAAGGGCGAAAAAGGUCAGCAGACAGACGGGUUUAAUCCCUAGGAGCUUCACCAGCUGUUCCUUGAGAGUGCUUCAGUUGAUCCGGAGCUUCAGCCUAUUGGUACUACUUUUGUGUAUAUAAUCGGGCACGGCAGAACCCGGCCCUUCCUAUGUAUAUAUGCACUUUGUUUAGAGGCUCGUAGACAGAUAUGUACAGUCAGAUGUUUUGUACUUUUGUUGUCCUCGUCGUUGUAUAACGUGCUAGCAAAGUUUAUAAGUUCAUGUUUACAAUUAUGCCAUUAAUGUUAGCGUUAAGCAACAGAAAAAAAAAAAAAAAAAAAGAUACGAUAUAGUCUAUACGGCCCACCUAGUAGUAAAAGUACGAUACGAGAUAAGGGGUGCUCGGUACAAGUAUCGGGUACCCAUCGCGGCCCCUAGUUGGGUCGUGACACUAAGUUUUUUUCAA